UCCGGCCUGAGAAGGGAGGUCCCUGUCAAGAGAAUGGCCAAGAUCUCCUCAGCAACAAAUGGUCCAAGGCCAUGGAGACUAUUACUGCACGCUACUCCCUCCCAGAUCCUGACACGCUGUCAUCUUGGGACCAACAUAAAAUCCGGGCCUGGAUUCUUACAAGAGACGAGGCCAUGGACCGGGCACAGUCCACCUCAGCUCGCCUCUCCACGUGGCUCCCUAAAGUGAAAGUGGAUGUCUUCCAAGGUCUCCCCUGCUCCC